rnacentral:rRNA from 1 species
UAGGGAAUCUUCGGCAAUGGACGAAAGUCUGACCGAGCAACGCCGCGUGAGUGAAGAAGGUUUUCGGAUCGUAAAACUCUGUUGUUAGAGAAGAACAAGGACGUUAGUAACUGAACGUCCCCUGACGGUAUCUAACCAGAAAGCCACGGCUAACUAUGUGCCAGCAGCCGCGGUAAUACGUAGGUGGCAAGCGUUGUCCGGAUUUAUUGGGCGUAAAGCGAGCGCAGGCGGUUUCUUAAGUCUGAUGUGAAAGCCCCCGGCUCAACCGGGGAGGGGCAUUGGAAACUGGGAGACUUGAGUGCAGAAGAGGAGAGUGGAAUUCCAUGUGUAGCGGUGAAAUGCGUAGAUAUAUGGAGGAACACCAGUGGCGAAGGCGGCUCUCUGGUCUGUAACUGACGCUGAGGCUCGAAAGCGUGGGGAGCAAACAGG